rnacentral:lncRNA from 1 species
AGCGUACACGAGCAUGUGUAGAAAUAUCUUAUCCAAACAGUGAGAGAACCAUGCCUAAACCUUAAAACCUCUGCUGUUACGGCGCCCACGAGCCUUCUCAAACUUGCGUCCUUUGGAUCGCACAUAGGGCUUGGCAUGACUUUGUGGUACACCAGGUGCCCCGAAGUGCUUCACGGCUUCACGAGCAUUCUUAGGUCCCCUCAGCAAUACCUUCACAGUAGAAAAAGUGUGAUUACUACUCCGAUGACCAUACAGAAGGCACUAGAGCUCGUUAAACAAAUCAUAUACACUCCGGAAUGAUAUGAACCUAAUAAUAAAUCAGAGGACAAAAAUCUUAGUGGUACAAGAUGACACAGAUGAUCACCACGCAGGGUCAGACUAGAAAGCCUUGCAUUAAUCGGAGCAGGUGGCAACAAACUACUACUAAGAAUCAACAAAAAUGUAUCUAAGACCUAUUUGUUCUCGCCUUGCUCACCGACCGAACACUUGGCCUAACUGGGACUGCUAAUAAGAAAAGGAAUAGAUUGACUAACACUCGUAGAAUUUCAGCAAGUAAGCUUACGCAAUUGGAUCCAGUCGGAGCUCUCAGGGCAAGCUGGUCGAAAGUCAAAACCUCCCCUCCGCUCUUCAAGAUACGAGCACGAGCUGUUUCGGUAAAUCGAAGAGCAGCCACCUUCAAAGCUGGAACUUCGUAGAUUCUAGUGUCGUCAGUGACAGUACCCACGAUAACAGCAAUUUUUCCUUCCUGCAAAUUCGAACAACGCACGUUAAACACGUAAAUCCAAAGGUUACUAACGUGGAGCAAAUACUUCUAAGAGAUUGAUCAAAAUAACAAAGCUUACAUCUUGGAAGUCCUGCUGCAGAAACCUGCGCACUGCCCUGUGAAGGAAGUAGGUAACAUGCAUACUAAGUCUCGUAAAAUCCGAAAGAAACUUUUAGAAUCAAAUUCACAUCAUACCUUGCCGGUCAUGUACUUCACAAGACGAGACAUAGAAAUGGGAGGUCGGUUGAUACGGCUCAUAAACAAGCGCUUCAAGACAACUGAAUUGAAAGGGGCAUCGGUUCUCCUGACCAGGAACCGAUACAGCUGCGAAAAAUAAUCACACCAUUCAACAAAAAAGAAAUGAAAGUAACUAAAAGAAAAAAUAACUUGACUGCCCAAUAGUGUAGUCAAACAAUCCACGAGAAAACCCUAAUUGAAACUCAGGUUUCGAAGAGUAAAUUCGGAUAGACAACUAUUAAAACAAGCAAUGCUUCUUGGGGAGUACCUUCACAAGAAGCUUCAGGUACACAUUGUCGCUCUUGGGCGCUGUACGCUUGGUCUUCUUGUUGCGACCCCCGGCCUUCAAAUCUAUACCCUACACGCCGAAACAGAAUAAAGCCUCAGCACCUACGACAAUGCGAAUUCACUUAAGGGAACUGUAACUGCAUCAAAACUCUCGUCUACGUGUACCGACAGGAACGCGACGCGACAUGCUGCUUCAUCGAUCACAGCUCGUGAACAAGCUCAAAAAAGAAGGAGAAAAAUAAAAACUCAAACGCAUUAUUUGAACACUUUUCGCUUGUGGAGCACACGCAAUCUAGGCCCAAAACCCAU